rnacentral:rRNA from 1 species
UCAUUUGUUCUUUAAAUGAGGACUUGUAUCAACGGCAUCACGAGGGUUAGACUGUCUCCUUUUUCAUAUCAGUGAAACUAAUCUCCCCGUGAAGAAGCGGGGAUAAAUUUAUAAGACGAGAAGACCCCAUGGAGCUUUAAACUCAACUACACUCCUUCUAACUUUCCCUUAAAACCUUGAGGAACCUGUAUGUUCUGUUUUAGGUUGGGGUGACCGCGGAGUAUAAACUAACCUCCACAAUGAAUAGACUUCCUCUUUAUCCAAGACUUACACCUCUAAGAAUUAGUAUUCUAACAUAAACUGAUCCGAUAUUCGAUCAACGAACCAAGUUACCCUGGGGAUAACAGCGCAAUCCACUUCAAGAGCCCCUAUCGACAAGUGGGUUUACGACCUCGAUGUUGGAUCAGGGUAUCCCAGUGGUGCAGCAGCUACUAAAGGUUCGUUUGUUCAACGAUCAAAACCCUAC